rnacentral:rRNA from 1 species
GUAGGGUGCAAGCGUUAAUCGGAAUUACUGGGCGUAAAGCGUGCGCAGGCGGGUUUGUAAGUCUGUCGUGAAAGCCCCGGGGCUCAACCUGGGAAUUGCGAUGGAGACUGCAAGGCUUGAAUCUGGCAGAGGGGGGUAGAAUUCCACGUGUAGCAGUGAAAUGCGUAGAGAUGUGGAGGAACACCGAUGGCGAAGGCAGCCCCCUGGGUCAAGAUUGACGCUCAUGCACGAAAGCGUGGGGAGCAAACAGGAUUAGAUACCCUGGUAGUCCACGCCCUAAACGAUGUCUACUAGUUGUCGGGUUUUAAUUAACUUGGUAACGCAGCUAACGCGUGAAGUAGACCGCCUGGGGAGUACGGUCGCAAGAUUA